GCCAGCGGUGAUGGCACGUGCCUGUAGUCCCAGCUACUUGGGAGGCUGAGGCAGGAGGAUCACUUGAUCCCAGGAGUUCCGGGCUGUAGUGUAGUAUACCAGUCAGGUGUCUGCACUAAGUUCUGCAUCAACCUGGUUGCCUAAGGAUAGUUGAACUGACCCAGGUGCAAACUGGAGCAGGUCAAAACUCCAGUGCUGAUCAGUAGCAGGGUCGCACCUGUAAAUAGGCACUGCCCUCCAGCCUGGGCAACAUAGUGAGAUCCCAUCUCGA
ensembl:misc_RNA Metazoa_SRP Metazoan signal recognition particle RNA